GACGAACGCUGGCGGCGUGCUUAACACAUGCAAGUCGAACGGAAAGGCCCUGCUUUUGUGGGGUGCUCGAGUGGCGAACGGGUGAGUAACACGUGAGUAACCUGCCCUUGACUUUGGGAUAACCUCAGGAAACUGGGGCUAAUACCGGAUAGGAGCUCCUGCUGCAUGGUGGGGGUUGGAAAGCUUCGGCGGUUGGGGAUGGACUCGCGGCUUAUCAGCUUGUUGGUGGGGUAGUGGCUUACCAAGGCUUUGACGGGUAGCCGGCCUGAGAGGGUGACCGGCCACAUUGGGACUGAGAUACGGCCCAGACUCCUACGGGAGGCAGCAGUGGGGAAUAUUGCACAAUGGGCGGAAGCCUGAUGCAGCAACGCCGCGUGCGGGAUGACGGCCUUCGGGUUGUAAACCGCUUUCGCCUGUGACGAAGCGUGAGUGACGGUAAUGGGUAAAGAAGCACCGGCUAACUACGUG
rnacentral:rRNA from 1 species